UCAGCCGCCACUGCCACCACUCACUCUAUGGAGAAUCUGGAGCACUCACUCUUCACCCCAAUCCCAGACUAGUGUUUAUGGAGGAAAUCUUUUUUCAAGUAUGGUCGAUGUAGUUACAAAGCCCUUAUGAUUCCAGAGACCGAAUCUUCCAAGGUAAUACUAUAUAAACAUAAAUGGGAAGGUGUUUCCUUGGUAAAGCCCCAUUCUAUUCUAGAACAUCAUUCACAGCAAUUCCCCCAAAUCCAGGCAUGUCCUGCAUACAACAGAAUCCUCUAGAAGCCCCAUGUCAGGGAUGAGGAUUACAGCCACAGCUUCAGUUUUGCAGGUUACAGUGAGAAAGGUACCACCCAUCUUUGCUCCUGCCAGGAAGGACGAAUCUCAGCCUCCAAGAGUAACAAUCAACGUUCCAACCUUCUGGCCUCCAACGGGAAGAGCGUGAAUCAUUACAAGCCCGCAGAUCUUGGUCACCCACCCACCCACUCAGCCUGAACCAGCUGCUCUGAGCACCCAGAGUCACCCGACUGGAGAGAGGACCCACACACACACCCCUUGGGCAAGUGGCCAAACUGGCACCUCAGUCCCCAGAGUGAGGAGGAAGCCUGGAUCUCAGGGAGACGUUCAGGGAUUGGGGGCCAAUUGGGUAGUGUCUCCCACAUUCUCUCGGGGAAACCAGCACGAAGCAAAAGGCACAGAGAGCUGGAUGUUCCAUCCCUGGAAAAGGAUGAACCUUGGAGCAAAGAGACUCCAACCCGGUCAAAAGCCAAUCACUCUAAGUAGCCUGGUUUCCUCUCCGCACUCCCCUCCCGGCUCUAAGCCCCAAUUCUUGGCCUCCUCCCAGGAAGGGACCACCCGCUUCAACCCACCCGGAGCUCCAGAGACACUCAGCCCACCCUACACCAGUCCCGAGUCGCCUCCAAAGGCGCAGGUUCUGAUCAGACAUCAGCUCCUCUAAGAAGCCUCCUGCCCCCCCAAGACAGGGCUCUUGGAGACACAGCCCACCCAGGACCAUCCUAAACUAUACUUUUGGAUUCAGAUGUUGGAGGUUAGAAAAAGGAUGUGAAUUCCAGCCCUGAAUCUGCAGGAAGGCUUGGGACACUGGCUCUUGAUACUGAGCUGCCGUAUUCUGAGGAAGCACAAACUAGCUUGUGUGGAGAGCUGAGUUCUCAGUUGACAGCCAGCAUCAGCCACCAGACAAAUGGGUGAAGAUUCCUCUAGAUGAUUCCAACUUUCCAUCAUCAGGUUAUCUUCCAUCUUUGAGUAUUCCCAGCUGAGGCCCCACACAUCAUGGAGCACAGAUAAGGCGUCUCUACUGUGCUCUAUAUGAAUUCACGAUCCACAAUGUCUGAGAGCAGAAUAAAGUGGUCCCUUUAUGCCAGUAGGUUUUCAGUGGUUUGUUACAUGGCAGAAAUAACUUAGGGGGGAAAUUGCGUGUGUGCAUGUGUGUGUGUCUGUGUGUGUGUAUGUGUAGAUUUAAUGAAAGGCA